rnacentral:rRNA from 1 species
UACGUAGGGGGCAAGCGUUGUCCGGAUUUAUUGGGCGUAAAGAGCGUGUAGGCGGCUUGAUAAGUCUGCUGUGAAAACUCGAGGCUCAACCUCGAGCUGUCGGUGGAAACUGUCUAGCUAGAGUCCGGAAGAGGAGAGUGGAAUUCCUGGUGUAGCGGUGAAAUGCGCAGAUAUCAGGAAGAACACCUAUGGCGAAGGCAGCUCUCUGGGACGGUACUGACGCUGAGACGCGAAAGCGUGGGGAGCGAACAGG